rnacentral:rRNA from 1 species
CAUGUAGGCGGUCUGUCAAGUCUGAUGUGUAAGCCCGGGGCUCAACCCCGGAAGUGCAUUGGAAACUGGCAGACUUGAGUACGGGAGAGGAAAGUGGAAUUUCGAGUGUAGGGGUGAAAUCCGUAGAUAUUCGAAGGAACACCAGUGGCGAAGGCGGCUUUCUGGACCGAUACUGACGCUGAGAUGCGAAAGCGUGGGGAGCAAACAGGAUUAGAUACCCUGGUAGUCC